GUAUAAAGUUUAUAUAGGCACUGAGGCCCAAAUUAUACAUUCUGUUACAUACUAGGUGUAUAUGAAAAACGUAGGCUUGGAAGUGCAAAGAAAGCCGACACAAAGAGCGCAGCAUUCCUCCCGACCGAGUUACCUCGGAAAAUUCAUCCAGGUCUACAAGAGGUGCACAGGUGGAGAGAUGAGGAUGGCGGGUGUGCACAUGCCCCCACAAGAGAGCCAGCAACAACCACACCAAGUUCAUUCAAUAAUGAUCCUUCCGCAGGUUCACCUACGGAAA
rnacentral:misc_RNA from 1 species